UACGUAGGCAGCGAGCGUUGUUCGGAAUUACUGGGCGUAAAGAGUGUGUAGGCGGUGUCCUAAGUCUGGUGUGAAAUCUCCCGGCUCAACUGGGAGGGUGCGCCGGAAACUGGGGUGCUAGAGGGUGGGAGAGGUAAGCGGAAUUCCUGGUGUAGCGGUGAAAUGCGUAGAUAUCGGAAGGAACAUCAGUGGCGAAAGCGACUUCCUGGACCAGUACCGACGUCAGGCACGAAAGCGUGGGGAGCAAACAGG
rnacentral:rRNA from 1 species